ensembl:lncRNA
CCCCAAUCACCCCCCCCCCACAAUCAACAAUCCUCUGCCUAGGGCCCCCACACUACCUAGAAUCGCCCCUGUGUGUGUGUGUGUGUGUGUGUGUGUGUGUGUGUGUGUGUGUGUGUGUGUGUGUGUGUGUGUGUGUGUGUGUGUGUCACUCUUGACUCAAGAUGCCGCUCACCAAUCCACAGGUAAUUCAACAAAUAUGAACUCAUCCGGUCCUUCGUCAAGAAAUAAAUAGCCUCAUCACCACGACAACGCCCUCAAGGCACGAUGGGGAUGUCGUAACAGAGUUAUGGACGACCCAGCUCGGUCACUUCUAACGAGUCAAAUAAAAGGUUGCAUCACCUGUCCACUUAUGUUCUCACACCUCCUGUUUUUCUGUCAAGGGUAACACCUCCACACACUCCUCUGCCCCUUGACCCAGAAUAUACCCGGCCGUGAUUGGCUCGAAGUAAAGAUAACAAAAGAAAUGUUUCCUUAUUUUAGUUACUUAUUUUAUUCACAUUGAACAUUAAAUAAUCACAUGUUUAUACUGUAUAUAUACCAUAUUGAACAUUGCAGAAAUAACAAAUUGAUGUUACACUCAAGUUUGGACUCCAGGCUAACUAAUCUUGUUUUGCAUUGUACAGUUCUUUUGUUUUUUAGAAAUAUAUCUUCUGUAAGUAUGAGCAGUAUGGGGGAGGAACUGAGUAAUUAUGUGCUUGGUUAUGUGAGAGAUUCUUCUGCAGAAUAUACCUUAAGGGUAUGUAACCUUUACAAUAUUGCGUUAUCUUACACAACGGUGUUGAAUAGCUUUUUUCAUGCUUUCCCACUUAAAGUCCACAGAGGGUUUGAAAAUGUUCGCAGAAUCUGCAAUGCAGUUACCGAAAUGUCUCGACUUCCUUAGAGAGGGAAAAGUUUGAGGUUUUAUUAAAAAUGUAAUCUAUACAAAAGCACCGCAAUGCUAAUAUGUAAAUGAAGAUGGAUUAUGAUUUGUCUAUGAAAUAGUCUUUUAUAAUCCUCUAUGUGUUAUUCCUAUGAGAUCCUUUCAAUAAAAGAAGAUACUGAAUGGCCUGGUUGUAUAGAGAUUACUUAUCUAAUUACAUUCUCCAUUACCCAUUGUCAAUAGUGUAGGUUUUAAGAAGGCUUUUUGUGAUUAUUGUCUGACAAAUGGUUUAUGUAAAUUACUUUAUGCCGGCAUAUUGUUUUGAAAGUACACUUUUCCUAUGCACUGACUAACCUGUGACUAUCACUCAGCGCUCUUUAUAGAGGGAUUCCAAGCCUCUUGAUAUAAUCUUUUAUUAAUAAAUGUG